rnacentral:rRNA from 1 species
UGGGGAAUAUUGCACAAUGGGCGGAAGCCUGAUGCAGCGACGCCGCGUGGGGGAUGAAGGCCUUCGGGUUGUAAACUCCUUUCGACAGGGACGAAGCUUUUGUGACGGUACCUGUAUAAGAAGCACCGGCUAACUACGUGCCAGCAGCCGCGGUAAUACGUAGGGUGCGAGCGUUGUCCGGAAUUACUGGGCGUAAAGAGCUCGUAGGUGGUUUGUCGCGUCGUCUGUGAAAUUCCGGGGCAUAACUCCGGGCGUGCAGGCGAUACGGGCUGACUUGAGUGCUGUAGGGGAGACUGGAAUUCCUGGUGUAGCGGUGAAAUGCGCAGAUAUCAGGAGGAACACCGAUGGCGAAGGCAGGUCUCUGGGCAGUAACUGACGCUGAGGAGCGAAAGCAUGGGUAGCGAACAGG